rnacentral:rRNA from 1 species
GUCGAGCGGAACGAGUUAACUGAACCUUCGGGGGACGUUAACGGCGUCGAGCGGCGGACGGGUGAGUAAUGCCAAGGAAAUUGCCCUGAUGUGGGGGAUAACCAUUGGAAACGAUGGCUAAUACCGCAUAAUCUCUUCGGAGCAAAGAGGGGGACCUUCGGGCCUCUCGCGUCAGGAUAUGCCUAGGUGGGAUUAGCUAGUUGGUGAGGUAAUGGCUCACCAAGGCGACGAUCCCUAGCUGGUCUGAGAGGAUGAUCAGCCACACUGGAACUGAGACACGGUCCAGACUCCUACGGGAGGCAGCAGUGGGGAAUAUUGCACAAUGGGCGCAAGCCUGAUGCAGCCAUGCCGCGUGUAUGAAGAAGGCCUUCGGGUUGUAAAGUACUUUCAGCAGUGAGGAAGGUUCAUACGUUAAUAGCGUAUGGAUUUGACGUUAGCUGCAGAAGAAGCACCGGCUAACUCCGUGCCAGCAGCCGCGGUAAUACGGAGGGUGCGAGCGUUAAUCGGAAUUACUGGGCGUAAAGCGCAUGCAGGUGGUUUGUUAAGUCAGAUGUGAAAGCCCGGGGCUCAACCUCGGAAUUGCAUUUGAAACUGGCAGACUAGAGUACUGUAGAGGGGGGUAGAAUUUCAGGUGUAGCGGUGAAAUGCGUAGAGAUCUG